rnacentral:rRNA from 1 species
UACGUAGGGCGCGAGCGUUAAUCGGAAUUACUGGGCGUAAAGCGUGCGCAGGCGGCUGUGCAAGACAGAUGUGAAAUCCCCGGGCUCAACCUGGGAACUGCAUUUGUGACUGCAAGGCUAGAGUACGGCAGAGGGGGAUGGAAUUCCGCGUGUAGCAGUGAAAUGCGUAGAUAUGCGGAGGAACACCAAUGGCGAAGGCAAUCCCCUGGGCCUGUACUGACGCUCAUGCACGAAAGAGUGGGGAGCAAACAGG